rnacentral:rRNA from 1 species
CCUACGGGAGGCAGCAGUGGGGAAUCUUGCGCAAUGGGCGAAAGCCUGACGCAGCAACGCCGCGUGCGGGAAGAAGGCUUUCGGGCUGUAAACCGCUUUCAGCAGGAACGAAAAUGACGGUACCUGCAGAAGAAGGAGCGGCCAACUAUGUGCCAGCAGCCGCGGUGAUACAUAGGCUUCAAGCGUUGUCCGGAUUUAUUGGGCGUAAAGAGUUCGUAGGCGGUCGAGUAAGUCGGGUGUGAAAAUUCUGGGCUCAACCCAGAGACGCCACCCGAUACUGCUUGACUUGAGUUCGAUAGGGGAGUGGGGAAUUCCUAGUGUAGCGGUGAAAUGCGCAGAUAUUAGGAAGAACACCGGUGGCGAAGGCGCCACUCUGGAUCGAUACUGACGCUGAGGAACGAAAGCAUGGGUAGCAAACAGGAUUAGAUACCCUGGUAGUCCAUGCCGUAAACGGUGGGCACUAGGUGUGGGUUUCUAUUAACGAAAUCCGCGCCGUCGCUAACGCAUUAAGUGCCCCGCCUGGAGGUACGGUCGCGAGACGUAAACUACGAAGAAGUAAGUACGG